UACGUAGGGUGCGAGCGUUGUCCGGAAUUACUGGGCGUAAAGAGCUCGUAGGUGGUUUGUCGCGUUGUUCGUGAAAACUCACAGCUUAACUGUGGGCGUGCGGGCGAUACGGGCAGACUGGAGUACUGCAGGGGGAGACUGGAAUUCCUGGUGUAGCGGUGAAAUGCGCAGAUAUCAGGAGGAACACCGGUGGCGAAGGCGGGUCUCUGGGCCGAUACUGACGCUGAGGAGCGAAAGCGUGGGGAGCGAACAGGAUUAGAUUACCCGU
rnacentral:rRNA from 1 species